AACUGGAUUGUGUUGUAAAGAAUUUGUCACUUUUUCUGUUUUUUUUUUUUUUUCCUGUCAGGCACCACGAGUGGAAGGGAAGAGUUCUUGAUGAGCGAUAGUAAUAACGAGCUUCCCAGAAGUAGAAUGAAAGGUGUGAGGCAAUCCCCGAAGCUACUAGAAGAGCAUUUUACAGAACCACAUCAGAGAAAUGGUGGUUUGUGUCGCAUGUCAAAAGCUGUCAG
rnacentral:lncRNA from 12 species